CGCGGCCUAUCAGCUUGUUGGUGGGGUGAUGGCCUACCAAGGCGACGACGGGUAGCCGGCCUGAGAGGGCGACCGGCCACACUGGGACUGAGACACGGCCCAGACUCCUACGGGAGGCAGCAGUGGGGAAUAUUGCACAAUGGGCGGAAGCCUGAUGCAGCGACGCCGCGUGAGGGAUGACGGCCUUCGGGUUGUAAACCUCUUUCAGCAGGGACGAAGCGAGAGUGACGGUACCUGCAGAAGAAGCGCCGGCCAACUACGUGCCAGCAGCCGCGGUAAGACGUAGGGCGCGAGCGUUGUCCGGAUUUAUUGGGCGUAAAGAGCUCGUAGGCGGCUUGUCGCGUCGAAUGUGAAAACCCACGGCUCAACUGUGGGCUUGCAUUCGAUACGGGCAGGCUAGAGUUCGGUAGGGGAGACUGGAAUUCCUGGUGUAGCGGUGAAAUGCGCAGAUAUCAGGAGGAACACCGGUGGCGAAGGCGGGUCUCUGGGCCGAUACUGACGCUGAGGAGCGAAAGCGUGGGGAGCGAACAGGAUUAGAUACCCUGGUAGUCCACGCUGUAAACGUUGGGCGCUAGGUGUGGGGGGCCUCUCCGGUUCUCUGUGCCGCAGCUAACGCAUUAAGCGCCCCGCCUGGGGAGUACGG
rnacentral:rRNA from 1 species